CUGACGAUGGAUACUGACGGGUGGAUGUUCCUUUUAGCGCUUCACUUUAUUUGUGUGACUUCAAAUGACGAGCCGUACAAUAAGAGCUCUUGUGUGAAGGAUCCAGAUGUGUGUGAGAUGCACACACUCAGCACUCAGCUUGGCUCCUCUGUGCUUCUCCCAUGCAACUUUAAACCAAGUAACGUCAUCAGGGUGUCAUGGAGCCAAACUCCCGAUCUGCACCUGCUGCAGCUCACGUCUGCAGGUCGCAUCGUGUUCCUGAACCCCAGGUCUGGUCGUGUGAAGGCCUUUCCAAACCAGGGCCAAGAGGGGAACUUCUCCAUCAGCAUCAAUGAGCUAAACAACUCAGACCUGGGGUGUUAUGUCUGUACACGAGGAGAUGACUGUCUUCAAGUGGAGUUGGUUGCUGAACAUGGUGCUCAAAGCGUGAACAUGAUGCUACUGAUUUUCAUCACUGCUGGUGUGGCUGCUUUCAUCCUGCUAAGCGUCGGUGGCUACUGCUGCAUGAAGUUCUGCUGUAAAAACACAGCUUCGUACAACCCUGAAGGUGCAGAUAUGGAGGGUGUCAGUCCUUCACAAGAGGAAACAGGCAGAGUGCCAGACGGCCAACAGCAGGGAGGUGCAUACAAUCCUAAUCUUGUUUAUGAAAAUGAGGACCAAGGCCCAUUCAACCAGCAGGAGGAACCCGGAGAUUAUUGCAACACAGUUUCAGGAGCGAUGCCUCAUCCCGACCUGACUCUGCACCCUGACAGCAGCAGUGGGAUUUAUCCAAACCUCAACCAGAGUCAGAGGACUAAACUGAGAUUUCAUAGAGAACUCUUCAACAGAUUACGGCAAGCAAGUGUCAAGCGCCCUUAUUACGUUAACCAAGAUGAAAUGAGGCAACAACAAGCCAGUUCAAUUCUGGAGGAGAAGCGUCGCAGAGUUUGAUUGUUUGUUAUUGUGUUUGGCUGCAGGUUUGGGGAAGAAGAAAGCCAAAGAAAAUGCUGAAUUCAAAAACCCGAUAUACAACAGGAGCGUAGACCAGCUCAACCACCUAUAGAGAAUUAAAGAGAGUUUAAACAGCUGCUGAGAUAUUAGCAGUAUCAACAUCCUUUCCAAUCACGGUUGUGUUAACUAUUUUAACAUACUAUAACUUGAUACAUGUCUUGUUUGCUGCAUAAUAGUACAAUUUUUGUAUGUACCUCUAUAAGACAAUGACACAUUGUUGUUGGGUGAUGUUUAUCAAAUAAAG